UACGGGGGGGGGCAAGCGUUGUUCGGAAUUACUGGGCGUAAAGGGCUCGUAGGCGGCCAACUAAGUCGGACGUGAAAUCCCCAGGCUCAACCUGGGAACUGCGUCUGAUACUGGAUGGCUUGAAUCCGGGAGAGGGAUGCGGAAUUCCAGGUGUAGCGGUGAAAUGCGUAGAUAUCUGGAGGAACACCGGUGGCGAAGGCGGCAUCCUGGACCAAUAUUGACGCUGAGGAGCGAAAGCCAGGGGAGCAAACGGG
rnacentral:rRNA from 1 species